GCUAGGUUGGGUCGGUUGAUUUAUUGAGAACGUGUCAGGGUACGAGGUUGCCCUAAUUGUUGGGGCAAGUGAAAGAUGUGGGUAUUUGGUCUUAGAAUUGAAUGAGAAGUUAUCUUGAAAAAUGGCAAAGAAGAUGCAUAGCGUGGAGGUGGCGCCAUGGCCUACUCUAUUCCCUCAAAAAUGUCGUCGUGCUUCUCCAUACCUGGAGACUAUUAGAGAAGGCAGAUCAGAAGGCCAUGAAGAAACCUCCUUUCUUCGUCUCAAUCUCUCUUUCUUCUUCCAAAUCAUCUUUCAUUUUCCCCACGCCUUGCCUCACUGACUACUCUUGUUCAAAAAAAAGAAAAUAAGUUUCGAUGAUUCGUCACCAUGGCUGCAGAUAGUAAUGCGGUUGGAUGAGUGUCUCUCUAUUAUUAGGCAAGCAUUAGUGUGUGUGAUGAUUUGUAGCAACUCGGAAACUGCCUUGUUUUUGUGUGGCAGUGUGUGCGGUGUCAUUCUUCUUUUUUUAGCAAGCGAUGAUGUAUCUUCAAUUCAUCACUUAUUUAAUUUUAUGGUAUUUUAAUCACUUGUGGUUUGGCUAGAAAAUAUAUAUAGAUCAUGAUUAAUUA